AAUAGAUACCCCGGUAGUCCACGCCGUAAACGAUGGAUACUAGCUGUUGGAGGGUAUCGACCCCUUCGAGUAGCGAAGCUAACGCGUUAAGUAUCCCGCCUGUGGAGUACGGUCGCAAGACUAAAACAUAAAGGAAUUGACGGGGACCCGCACAAGCGGUGGAUUAUGUUUCUUUUAAUUCGAUGCUAGACGAAGAACCUUACCAGGGUUUUGACAUCCUUGGAAUUACUGCGAAAGCAGUGAGUGCUUUAUUGAACCAAGUGACAGAUGAUGCAUGGCCGUCGUCAGCUCGUGUCGUGAGAUGUUUGGUUAAGUCCAUCAACGAGCGCAACCCUUGUGAUUAGUUGUAUUUUUCUAAUCAGACUGCCCCGGGUUAACGGGGGAGGAAGGAGGGGAUGAUGUCAGGUCAGUAUUUCUCUUACAUCCUGGGCUAGAAACGUAAUACAAUGGCGAGUACAAUGCGCAGCGAAGCCGCGAGGUGAAGCAAAUCGCAUCAAAGCUCGUCCCAGUUCGGAUAAGAGGCUGAAACUCGCCUCUUUG
rnacentral:rRNA from 1 species